GGACUGGGUUCGCUCCGACCCGCUGCUCUUUGCUCCAUGUCAUCCCCCUUCUCUCUACCCUUUCCUGUCUUCAAGCUAUCAAUUAAAGGCCAUAAAAGCCCAACAAUUAAAUCUUUA